rnacentral:rRNA from 1 species
GGCGCAUUAGCUAGUUGGUGAGGUAAAGGCUCACCAAGGCGACGAUGCGUAGCCGACCUGAGAGGGUGAUCGGCCACAUUGGAACUGAGACACGGUCCAGACUCCUACGGGAGGCAGCAGUGGGGAAUAUUGCGCAAUGGGGGAAACCCUGACGCAGCAACGCCGCGUGAGUGAUGAAGGCCUUCGGGUUGUAAAGCUCUGUCUUCUGGGACGAUAAUGACGGUACCAGAGGAGGAAGCCACGGCUAACUACGUGCCAGCAGCCGCGGUAAUACGUAGGUGGCAAGCGUUGUCCGGAUUUACUGGGCGUAAAGGAUGCGUAGGCGGAUAUUUAAGUGGGAUGUGAAAUACCCGGGCUCAACUUGGGUGCUGCAUUCCAAACUGGAUAUCUAGAGUGCGGGGGAGGUAAGUGGAAUUCCUAGUGUAGCGGUGAAAUGCGUAGAGAUUAGGAAGAACACCAGUGGCGAAGGCGACUUACUGGACCGUAACUGACGCUGAGGCAUGAAAGCGUGGGGAGCA